CAUUAAGCCAAGGGGUGCAGCAAUAUGCUGCUGAGAUUCAUUUGAAAACCCUUAUUUACCUGAUCCGGUUAGUACCGGCGUAGGAAUGGUUGUAUAAACACUU
rfam:Glaciecola nitratireducens FR1064, complete genome.